GACGUAGGGCGCGAGCGUUGUCCGGAUUUAUUGGGCGUAAAGAGCUCGUAGGCGGCUUGUUGCGUCGGCUGUGAAAUCCCAUGGCUCAACUGUGGGCUUGCAGCCGAUACGGGCGGGCUAGAGUUCGGUAGGGGAGACUGGAAUUCCUGGUGUAGCGGUGAAAUGCGCAGAUAUCAGGAGGAACACCGGUGGCGAAGGCGGGUCCCUGGACAAAUCCUGACGCUGAGGCACGAAAGCUAGGUGAGCAAACAGG
rnacentral:rRNA from 1 species